rnacentral:lncRNA from 1 species
AAAGUAACAUAUUCACAGGUUCCAGGGAUUAGGUCAUGGACACCUUUGGUAAGCCAUUCUGCCUACCACAGGAGUUAUUGAACAUUUCUAAAGAGGCAAAUUAAAUUACCUAAACCUGUUUAAAUAAGCAUUCCUUUCUCUGCGGCUGUAUUUUAGCAAUAGGCUUUCUUAUCCUCUAGGAACCAUGGCAGUGAUGCCUGCAGGGACUCUGCUAGCAAAGCCAUUAUAAACCAGCAUCCGCAUGUCAAAACAAGUGGUGCUAUGGCCCUAGCUGCAAACAGAUAAAGCAGAGAGGAAGGGAAUAUGCCUGCUUCCAUGAAUAGGGGGUGCUCAGCUGCAUCUCCAUUUCUGGGAGAAUUUAUGAGUGACGCACAGGCCAGGAAGCAUGGAGAGCUUCUCUCCCAGAAACAGAUGCUACUGAUCCCCACACAGAAGCCACCUCAUUCCCAGUACUCCCAGACACUGCCUGCCAGAUGGCCACAGCUGAAUCCACAGCUGAAUAGAUAUCUGCUGUUGGCACCAAACAUACCUCUGUGGGACUGGUUAAGGACCCAAGAUGGUGUGGUAGAGCAUAAAACACACAUGAACAAUAAAAAUGCUUGGGAGGUGCCCAGCACUGUGCUAAGCACUUUACAGGUGUUAACUCAACCUACACAACAGUCUCAGAUGGAUGCUGUGAUUCUUGUACCCAUUUUUUAUAGGCUUGGAGAGGUUGGGUAGCUUGCCAAUGGUAAUAGAACCUGUAACCAGCAGAGAUAGAAUUUAAAUGGAGGCAAAUAGUAUGUGAUCACAGUCUCCAGAAUCUGUGAUCAUAGACACUGCACUAGCUAUGUUUGAUGUCAAGAGCCCUUUAGCCCUCUGCCCCAGAUUACCAAGCAUCCAAGCUUACCUUGCUCCAGCUCAGAUAUGCCCAAAAUCCAAGUAAUUGCCAUGUGUUGAAGCACCCUGUUCUUGGUCAGUGGCCAAGAAUAUUUGCUUCUUCUGGGAUGAUAUGUUGAGCUAAGGAAAGGAAAACUGAAGCUGACACGUAAAGGAUAUCUGUUGCCAUGGAAAGCUUAGAGAACUGAAGACAAAUAGUAAUGACACUGGAAGAGGAUCCAAGUAGGAAAAAGUGAUGUGUGACUCAAGACUUACUUAAGAAUCCUGGGUACCCUAUGUAUGGAUAAAGGGCAAAUGUCAUCAUCCUGAGCAUGAAUAAACUGCUUAAUAUAGACUAGGAACUGAACUUUACCUAUUGCAUGGAUCAUCUCACUUAAUUCUCAUACCAUCUUUACAAGAAAAGUUUUUGCUCCUAGUUUGCAGAUGGAAAACUGAGGCUGAAUGAUGUCCAGUAACCUGUUUCGAGUAUCUCAGUUGAUAAAAGGCAGUUUUAUUAAGGUUGAACCUAGGCAGUCUGACACAAAAAAUAAUUCAUUAUAUUCCACGUUUUCUGUUCCAAAAUGUCACAGGACACUUUUCAAUUAGUUCCUGGGAUGUUGGGUUGACUCAGGAGAAAUACAGUCUGUCUUAGCACCACACUGAAACUGGUGUCAGUCAGGUGCGCAUAUGCUUCAUGGAACCAUGCCCACAGAUUAAAAGAUGCUCUGCUUUCUUCCAGUAUACUAGACAUAGGAUGCAUUUUAUUAAUGACCAUUGAAUGCAUGAAUUGAAUCAAACUGAAAGAGUAAAGAUAUUGGAGAGUUGAGGUCUAUUGCUGAAUCAGCAAACUGGAAAGAAAGUCAUGGUAAGAACAUAAUGAAGAGGGAAAAGUGAGGUUAUAUCUUGAAACUAAGUUCUUAAGUCAGGCCAAGGUACUGUUUGAUGAAAUUGUGUAAUUGUGAAAUGUGGCUGUAACUUGAAUCACUUUUUCCAAGUGCUGUCAUCUGCCAGAAUGGUACCAGCUCUGGCUGGACCCUGUGAUCAUUUCUCAGGUGGGGUCAGAGCAUGUUCAGGGAGGUAAAAGGAACAGAAAUCUAGCAACUACUAUGGUGUGCAAAUUAUAGAGACACAUGACCAUGUACAUAGUAAUUGUUGCCAACAGAAUGGUAACUUUUAAGAAAUCCACUGUUUGGAUGAAUGGCCAAGUAACAUGGGCUUUCACUGUGUAUAUAUUGGGCACUGAACUUCUACCAAGACUAGAAAAUGAAGGGUAUAGAUGUAAAAAUUCUUACCUGAAAAAAAUGCAGAUAAGGCGCUAUUUCAAUAGAGUUUUGAUAGUUAAAUACAAUACACUGAGAAACAUGCCUGACAAGAAGGAAGUAGGACAUAUAUAAUUUGAAUGAGUUAAUAAAGCACAAGUAUAUCCAAAGGAACAUGAUAAGGAAGCAUUCAGUUUUUUUCUUCUCUCCCUUUUCCUUUUCAAAUUAUCACCUGUGCCAGUUGCUGUGACUACUUUGUAAAACUUGGGGGCAUAAAACAACCAAUUAUCAUUCUCAUAGAUAAGUGUUUCACAGACUAGGACAGGUGACAGCUGGAGGCAUUGUUUAUGCUCAACAAUAUCUAGAACCUCAAAGACUAGGGCUGGAAUCCUCUAAAGGCUUUGUCACUCACAUAUCUAGCUGAUAUGAUGUCUAUGUCUGUAUGAUAUCUAUAUCACAUAUGAUACCUAUUACUAUAUCACAGAACUGAGUGUGGCCUGAGACUUUAGAUGAGACCAUCAAAACAGUCAGCCAGAACAUCUUUAUGAGGCCUGGGCUUCCUCACAGUAUGGCAGUUGGGUUCCAUCAACAAGCAUCCUGAGAGCAAGACAAGAUGAAGCUGUACUCUCUUGGUCAGAGCAUUCUCUUCCCACUCAGAUUCAAGGGAAAAGAAAAUGGUUUCUAACUCUUCAUAGGGAAUGUGCAGCUUCUAGAAGAGAAUGCAGAACUGUGAAUAUUGCUGUGGCUGUUUUUUGAAAACAUAAUUAUGCCCACUGGCAUCUAGAUCCCCAUGGGUAUAAUCCAUUAGAUUUAUUAUUUUUAAAAAAGCAAGGAAAAGAUUUUUUUAUAUUAAUCACAUGUUGGUAUUCCAGCACAUCCAAAUCUUAACAAAAUUAUAUUCUGAAAUUUUAAAGUGAGUUUGGCUUAAGAAUAUGUCUUUAUUUCUUCUCAUUUCAAUGUUAUAUGCAUGCCCAACCUUAAAAAUUAAAAAAGAAAAUAAUAGAUUUUUUUUUAAUUAAGCAAGCAUAAUAAGUCCUAAAUGAAUCAGUAGUGUUUUUGCCUCAUAUACAUUUUCUCAUUCUCCCUUGUGUUUGGAUAUUUACAGCUAUAUAUUUCCGUUUAAUUUAAACAUAGCAUUUAGGGAAAAUAUGUAACUGGGCCUUUCUUAGGUCUAGUUCCCUCAUCUAUCAAAUGGAAAAGAAUGGGAUGCAUAAGCAUUUCACAAAGUGCACUCACUGGUGUGCUAAUCAUAAUAACAUUAAAAAGGUACUGUAAUCGAAUAAUUAAACAGUGGGACAUGACAUUUGUUGUAAGAUUUCUCAGAGCCAUUAAUAUUUUUCCUCAAACCCUUUUUUGACCAUGGACUUUCUUUUGAAAGAUCACCUUAAAGGACUAGACUACAUAUGAGAAAUGAUAAAAUGAGACAAUCAUUUUUAAUUUGCAUUUCUAAAGAACACCAUGUAAUAGAGACAAGCAGUCUUUCCCCCAAAGUAUACAAAGGAAAAACAAAAAGAAUUUACUCAAUGCUACAGGUCAGUCUACUUAUUUAUUUCUAACCAUUUGGGCAUCUAUUACAUGUUUCUCUUCUAAGAUAGAUUUUGAGAUGGCAUCUUCCCAGUCUUGCUUUUUAGUAAUAACUAUUUACCUUCUAUGAAGCUCAUAUCAUGGGUUAGCCCAUGUCAAACUCUGCAUGAAUGUCUUCAUUUAGUUCUAUAAAUGAUCCCCAAAAGUUGCUGUCCCCAUUUUCUAGGUGUUGAAACUAAACCUUAAAAAUUUUAACAAACUCAUCCAAGGUCAAAGAUAAAAAGCAAAGGCAGGUUUUAAAACCAGGUCUCAAGAAGUCCAGGAGUUCCCGUCAUGGGUCAGUGGUUAACGAAUCUGACUAGGAACCAUGAGGUUGCAGGUUUGAUCCCUGACUUUGCUCAGUGGGUUAAGGAUCUGGCGUUGCUGUGAGCUGUGAUGUAGGUUGCAGAUGCUGCUCGGAUCCCACGUGGCUGUGGCUCUGGUGUAGGCCAGCGGCUACAGCUCCAAUUAGACCCCUAGCCUGGGAACCUCCAUAUGCCAUGGGAGUGGCCCAAGAAAUGGCAAAAAGACAAAAAAAAAAAAAAAAAAAGUCCGGUGAACUAUGCUAAUACAUUGGAUUCUGGCAUUUUUAUUUCACAACCACCUAUAUAAAAUAAUGGGUGAGGCUUCAUAUCCACAAAUUACUCAUAUAUUACUCAUAUUAUUAGUAAUUAACCUCAUGUUCCAGCUUGUCCUGCACACCAAUUCCUGACCUAUUUCCAGCCUUCUCAUUGUAGACCUUUAAAAUGGAUGAUGAUGGAACUGAUAAUGUUUAUGCUGCUGAUGAUAAUGGUGAUAGUUUAUUAUAUUACUGUUAUUUUUUAUUAGUAUUAUUUUAUCACUGGCUAUAGAACCUAACUUUUUUUUCUUAUGGCUGUAUCCAUUCCAAGUAGUGGAACUGUGAAAUACCCCAAAGGAGGGAGGAGGCAGCAUGUGCAAAGAUCCAGGGGACAAUGAAGCGUGGACAUUGAAGAGAGGAGACUGACCAUUUUGGCUGGAGCACAGAGUCUGGCCUGUACCUCCCUUUGCAUUUAGAGCCUUGUAGGCUAAGAAGGGGGUUUAAUUGUCAGAGUAGUGGGAUGCCACUGGAGGUCCUAAGCAGGACACUAAAAUUAACUUAAUUGCAUUUUUAAGAAAAUCACAUUGACUGCAACCACAAGAAAGAAUCAGAGGGACCAAGGUAGAUUUAAGGUAACCAGUAAGAAGGCUAUUACUAUAGUCCAAUAAAAAGUGUUGACAGCUGAUUUCUAAGGGCCUUUUCUGCUCUUAAAUUAGAUGUUAUUGUGACUAUUAGCAGAAAUUAUAGAAGCUACUGGCCUGCAUUUUUUGAAACAAGCGCUAAGUUCUAUUGAAUUUUAAUACCAUUCCUUAGGAGAUAUGUAUUAUUUCACAAUGGGAUUCCAAACUUGUCAAAUUAUCUCUACAAAUAGGGACACUUCAUUGAUUGUGAUUAUUGAAAAGGGAGUCCAACUAAUCAGUUUUUUGAAAAGUCAAACCAUCUGGGAUGUGUAUAUGUGCAUGUUUAUGUGUGUGUUCUAGUUAAUGACAUAGAAAUGUCCUAAAGGCUAGACAUACAUUUUUGGAAACAGGCAGUGUCAGCUAAUCCAUCACUGAAUAAAUAUUUAUUGAAAGUAUUCAUUGAGCACUUACUAUAUGCUCAAAAUUGUUCUUCCCUGUAGGAUAAAGUACAAUGAAACAAAUUAGCUCUCUCUCUCUCUCCUGCUCUCCUUCUCUCCCUCUCUCUCUCUCUCUUUCUCUCCUUAAUUCUAUAUGAAAAAAAGCAGGGUUUUAAAUAUACAACACACAGGUUCUGACUUUUGAUUCCAGCCCCACAACUGUGUGACUUGAACUAGUCACUUUUCUGAGAUUGAUGUCCCUUAUCUAGAAUUAAAGGAUAAUAGUAUAUAAGGAUUUUAAGAAUAACAUCUGAGAGUUUUCUAAGGAUUGAGAUAACGUAUUUCAAUCACCUCACACAGUACCUGGCAUAUAUUUUUACAAUUAACCAAACCAAGGUUCUUAAAUUUAGAUUCUACCAUAAUUACUUUGGGCACUCAUGGUCAUGUUUGGCAAUAAUUUUAAUGACUUUGCUAAAACAGUUUCACCACUACUUCUGCCUCCGUCUGUAAAAAAGCCCAGCAUUGUUCAUGGGCAGUUUCUCACCCCUUCCUACUGUAACAAAAUGGAUACUUUCUUUAAACUAGAAAACACAGUGUCUGGUAUUGCUUACUUCAAUUGGCCAUGGGUCCCAUAGGAUCAAAGUCUGUGAACAGACAGCUCUCAUACCUUUGGGGGAAAAAAAAAAGUCUCAGUGGUCUCAAAUGUAUAAGCUUUUAUCUACUGAGGUUUUAAUACACUUAAAUUCACUAGAGUAAGGGCGGCAAAUCCAAAAUAUGCCCAAAUAUAAGUCGGUCUUUUGUUUUUCCUCUGUGAAAAUCCAAAAAAGAGGUCAAGCGUCAACCUAAGUUGCUGAAUGUAUUAAAAUAGCUUCAGAUUCCUUUAUCAUUCAAAUGAAACCUCAAAUUCUCCUCAUCCUUCUUCAAGAUCUUUGUAUUUGUGUCAUUUAACACAGAUCUUUAGAGCACAUAAUUUUCCUUUCCAUCAAAGUCAUCUGAAUGUCAGAAAAUGUGAAUCCCUGUAGGGUGAUGUCACCUGCCCCCCAGUAACCACUCCCAUAAUAUGCUCUUCUGUUGCUUGUGCUUUUCCAUUCCUCCCAUUAGCAUGAAUUUUUGACCUCCAGAGUGUAACUACUUACUCCAUUUCUUUUAAAAGCCAUCUUUAAUAGGCUUGUUUACAAUGGUGUCUAAGCUUGUAAUUGUGAGGUAAGAGCUCCAGGAAUAAUUGCUAAAUUGUGUUAAAUUCCUUGCCUCUAUUUUCCAAUUUUUAAAUGAUUCUGCCAGUGACCUCUUUAAGCAAUCCAAACUAGUAUUGAUUGAGGUCCUUUCCAGCUUAUAUGCAGUACUUUGUUCAAGCUACAGUAAUUGCAAAAGUGCUCUAUAAUAUGAGAUGCUUUACUAGGACUCGGAUAUGAAUAUUCCGGUGGGGUGGGUGGGGAUGAUGUUUCUUUAAGGAAAAGAUCACCUUGCCUCAUAUGUAAACAAAAAGUUUCCAUUGCAUAAAUGUCACUAUGCUCCCUUUACCUUUGCAGAAAAAAAAAUUUAAUAUGUCAUGCCAUUCUUUUGCUUUGAGGCUGGGCUCUAUUUCUCUCAUCACUGCUCUACAGACAACUCAUUUUCUAAGCCAAUCUAAGAUUUACUCUACUAUGUGUAUUUAUCUGUUCAGCAUUUACUUUAUGUAAGCAUUGGGAUGAAUGCCUUUCAUUUAUUUUUUCAAAUGCUGCUAAGUGUUCACAACAAACCAUGAGGCAUAUUUCUGUACUGUCCAUUUUGCGGAAGAGAAGAACUGAGGCUUGGAGAAAUUCAGUAACUUGCCAAAUACCACACCUGAACAGUGGCAGAGUUGAGCCUCAAAUUCAUGUCUACCUGAUUCCAAAAUUUUGUCUAUAGAAGAAGUAAUAGUAUUAGACAUCUCUUGG